rnacentral:rRNA from 1 species
CCUACGGGAGGCAGCAGUGAGGAAUAUUGGUCAAUGGGCGCGAGCCUGAACCAGCCAAGUAGCGUGAAGGAUGACUGCACUGCGGGUUGUAAACUUCUUUUAUAAGGGAAUAAAGUCUGGCACGUGUGCCUUUUUGUAUGUACCUUAUGAAUAAGGAUCGGCUAACUCCGUGCCAGCAGCCGCGGUAAUACGGAGGAUCCGAGCGUUAUCCGGAUUUAUUGGGUUUAAAGGGAGCGUAGAUGGGUUGUUAAGUCAGUUGUGAAAGUUUGCGGCUCAACCGUAAAAUUGCAAUUGAUACUGGCAGCCUUGAGUACAGUUGAGGUAUGCGGAAUGCGUGGUGUAGCGGUGAAAUGCUUAGAUAUCACGAAGAACUCCGAUUGCGAAGGCAGCUUACUAACCUGACACUGACAUUGAUGCUCGAAAGUGUGGGUAUCAAACAGGAUUAGAUACCCGAGUAGUC